GGCAAAGGAGGCAAGAAGCGCAGAAAGUCCAGGAAGGAGAGCUACGCUAUCUACGUGUACAAGGUCCUGAAACAGGUCCACCCUGAUACCGGGAUCUUCUCCAAGGCUAUGGGCAUCAUGAACUCCUUCGUCAACGACAUUUUCGAGCGUAUCGCUGGUGAGUCCUCUCGUCUGGCUCACUACAACAAGCGCUCCACCAUUACCUCCAGGGAGAUCCAGACCGCCGUGCGCCUGCUGCUUCCCGGUGAGCUGUCCAAGCACGCCGUGUCCGAGGGUACCAAGGCCGUCACCAAGUACACCAGCUCCAAGUAAAGCGCCUUAGUCGCUCUGGCAAACCAACGGCUCUUCUAAGAGCCACCCAUCUUAUCAACUGCACCUAGACCUGUUGGAGCAGUACAGCCAGAACUUGGCCCUAGCAGUACAUCUGAAGAAAACAAACCUAGAUGUCAGGAACACAUGGCACCAGUUUACCAUGGUCAGCACUGCUCUGGAGCACACAAUAGCUACUCAAAUCUGAAUCUACAUACUACACAAACAACAGCGGUCAGAAACAGAGCAUCAUGUUAGGAGAGGAGAAGGAGAGGAGAAGGAGAGGAGAAGGAGAGCAGCACUGAAACAGCACAGUAUGUAUCUGCCUCCAACAAUCUGAGAGACACGGACUGAUACACCCGAACAGAGGAACAGUCUGAAUUAACCCACAAAGAGAAAAUGUUCCAUAUAUACAUGUUUUAUUUUGUAUAUUCAUAGUUUUUUUAAUGCUUUGGCAAUACUUUUAGUACUACAACAGUCACGCUAAUAAAGCUCUUUGAUUAAAAUAGAAAGAGAAAAAACAGAUACAGAGAUAAAGAUUUUUUUUUUUUUUUUAUUGUUGUAUGGUUAUUUAUAAUUAAUAUAUAUAUGUAUAUAUUACUAUUAGUAGUAGUGGGUUUUUUUUCUCUGUUGUAUUUGUUCUUGUUUUAGGCCAGCAAUCCUGUGAUUUUUUUUAAUUUUUGCUCUUCUUCUUCUUCUUCUGUUAUUAUGACCAUCAUCAUCAUCAUCAUUAAACAUGGACAUAUAGUCCAAUGACAAUUUGUCACACAUGAGGCACAAGAAAACAGAUAGUUUAAUAUCUGCAAAUGAUACGUAAAGACUAAAAGCCAUCAGUAUAAGCUGCGCGGCAUUGUGUCUAAAUAAAACAAUUGAACAACGCUUGCUCAGAAUGCAUAUAAAUGGGGCCACAUAAUGCUGUUUAAUGAUAAUAGUUGACCAUUACACUGUCAGCUUAAUUUCAUGACAAAUCUUUAGUUAUUUAAUCCGCAACAGAACAUAAAAUUAAAUAAGGAAUAUUUAAGCACCACUUUUCAGUUUAAGCACCACAAACAUGACAUGAGGUAAUAUUUGUGAUGGUUAUCCUGAUGACCUGUAUGAAUCUCAUGAAUAAUUGAUGACACUUGUACCUUAAUUACUAAAAUAAUUAAUAUAUUGCUCCUGCAGUAAGGCAUACAUUAGCAGUGGUGGACAGUAACUAAGUAAAUGUAACUAGUUGGGUGAGUUUUUACUUUAACUCAACCACAUUUGGUAGUCAAAUGUUUUACUUUUUUCUCCACUACAUUCUGAACAAUCUGUGGUUCCUUUUGGUUUAUGUGUGAAUAAAAACGUAACAUUGUCAAAAUAAAGGA